UACGAAGGGAGCUAGCGUUGUUCGGAAUUACUGGGCGUAAAGGGCGCGUAGGCGGCCUUGUAAGUUAGAUGUGAAAGCCCCGGGCUUAACCUGGGAACUGCAUUUAAGACUGCAAAGCUUGAGGACGAGAGAGGAAAGUGGAAUUGUGAGUGUAGAGGUGAAAUUCGUAGAUAUUCACAAGAACACCAGUGGCGAAGGCGGCGAUCUGGGAAGAUACUGACGCUGAGGUGCGAAAGCGUGGGGAGCAAACAGG
rnacentral:rRNA from 1 species